ensembl:lncRNA novel transcript, sense intronic to CASP8
UUUUUCUUUUUUUUUUUUUUUUUGUGAGACAGUUUUACUUUGUUUCCCAGGCUGGAGAGCAGUGGCACCAUCUCGGCUCACUGCAAUCUCCGCCUCCCAGGUUCAAGCAAUUCUCCUGCCUCAGCCUCCUGAGAAGCUGGGAUUACAGGUGCGUGCACCACCACGCCUAGCUAAUUUUGUAUUUUUAUUAGAGAUGGGGUUUUACUAUAUUGGCCUGGCUAGUCUCAAACUCCUGACCUCAGGUGUGAUCUGCCCAUCUUGGCCUCCCAAAGUGCUGGGAUUACCGGCGUGAGCCCCUGUUCCCAGCUUGAAUUUUCAUCUUAAAAAAGACCUUAUGUUGUCCUAUGUGCUACAUAUUUCAUUACCAGUGUACCUUUCCUGCCAUGUCUCAUUCUAGAUGUGUCUCUUCGUUGUUUGCAGGGGAGGAGUUGUGUGGGGUAAUGACAAUCUCGGACUCUCCAAGAGAACAGGAUAGUGAAUCACAGGUAGACGGAAACCUCCAAAUCCUUUUUUUUACAUUACAGAUUCUAGUUAUUUAAUUUGUUAGCUUUUUUUUUUUUUUGCUGCCAGAUAAACUGACAAGGGGCAGAAACUUACUGAAAAUUUUGAGAACUGUAGAAAAAAUUCACACAAAAAAAGUUAAAAAUGUGACUUAAUUUUUAAAAUGUGACUCCUUCAGUUUUCUAUACAUUUGAAUUUUAUUUUAAGACCCGAGAUGAAGAUACUGGAAUAGUUGGAGGGUGGAGGGGGUAAUAAGCCUCCUACCAAAUCUUCUAGCAGCCGUGCCAGCCUGGAUGGGGGAGUGGUUUGGAGAAAGAGUCUAGCAGGAAUGGAAAAAGCCAAGCCUUUUCCUUUAGCUUAAUGUUUCAAAAAUGCUUCUCCUUGGUGAUGAGGUGUAAGCAGCAAACUCUCACAAUCUAGCCAUCUCUGUGUUUUUGUCUCAGUGAACCAGCAGAAACAUGUAAUUUUUAGGCAUAAUAACUUCUCUUUAUGUAAUCAACAAUCCACCAAAUACAUCCUGACUUAUUAGACGAUCUGCUCCUCCUCAUGGUAGGAAGAAGAGGAAAUCCUGAAUAUCUGAAGUAGGCUUGAGAGAGAUUAUUCACUAGUGUGGGCUCCUGAGAAAAUUACCAGACCUCUUUCAUCUGAAAGUCAAGGAUUAACCCAAGUAAUGUGGUACUUUCUAAACAGUAUAGCAUGCUACAAGCAUUGUCCCCACUGAAGAGCUAAAAACACUGUCUUAAUAUCUUAGUAAAUCUUAGUAUCUUUUUCCUUUUUUAAUGUUUUAUUGAGACAGGGGUCUUGCUACGUUGCCAAGCCAGGUCUCGAACUCCUGGCCUCAAGCAAUCCUCCUGCCUUGGCCUCCCAAAGUCUGGGAUUAUAGGUACUAGCCACCGUGCCUGGCCAAAUCUUAGUGUCUUAGUAUCUCAGUAAAUACACUUAAUAUGCUUAAUAAAUACUUAGAACACAACUGUAAAUAAUAAAAACUUAACAUACUUGGUACAAACUUAAUCAAAUAUUUAAUAUCUUAGAGUUAACAUAUUAAGAUAACAGGUUAUUUGCCCAAAGUCAUAAGGUGAAGUAGAGGCAGGAAUUGGGCUUCCUAGCCUGGAGUCCUUUUCUCCACCUCAAGGGGCUACGCAGACCUCCAACUAAAUGCUGAGUUUCUCGGUACUGAAACAGCCCUAGGAGAAUGAAUAGGACACAGCGCCAUCCCUGGCCAGUACUAUCAGGUACUACAGUUUGGAUACCAUAACCUACAGUGUAGCCAGGACCUCCCUGACCAGCCCAUCUCUUCCCAGCAGCCACCGUGGUCCUGAGAGCUGGGUUAAGCCAUCACCUUUAAAAUCCUGGGACCACACUGUGCAAUGCAUGAAUGGGAGACCCUCAGCUGUUAGCCACGAAGCACAGAUGAGUUCAGUAGACAGCCAAGAGAAUCACAAGUCAUGGCGUGGGGGCAGCCAAAGACAUUCAUUCAUUCAGUGACUCUUGAUUGAGCUCUCACAAGUUAAUACACCGUAGUCCCUGGCACAGAUGUUAUGAACCUCAAGGAGUCUUCUGUAUAGUAUGGGAAGCAGAAAUGAGAACAAACAAUAAUACAAUGUGAUGACAACAAUAUUAAUAUAUGUGCAAAGUGCUCAGGAGGCCCAGGUAUUGGGACACUGACUUUACAACGAUGGGGCAGAAGUCUGAGAGGUCCUGUGUGAAGGAAAUAGGUAGAAACUAGUUCUUCGAGGAAACGACCCCGAGUUGGGGUGGUGCAAUGGAAAGCAAGUCCUCUUACUAGGGAGUUGUUUGUUUACAUCUCUAGUGUUUGACCCACAGAGUCAGCUCCUGGGUUGGGUUUUUGUUUUCCAGACUUUGGACAAAGUUUACCAAAUGAAAAGCAAACCUCGGGGAUACUGUCUGAUCAUCAACAAUCACAAUUUUGCAAAAGCACGGGAGAAAGUGCCCAAACUUCACAGCAUUAGGGACAGGAAUGGAACACACUUGGAUGCAGGUACAGUAGAACCCAAAAGAGAAAAGUAAAAUAUUUCUUAUGCCUAUUUUUUUUUAAAUCAAAAGGGAGAGAACAAAAGCUAUACCAAAAGGGCCAUGUUUCAAGAAAAUGGAUUUAAACAUAUUUCCCUGUGGAGGUAAAGAACAUUCUUAUACAUUUAUCAGUUUCCUGCUUUUUUUAAAAAUUAAUUUUUUAAAUAAAAGUAAUGUAUGUAUAAAUAUAAAAUAUCAAAUCUUACUAAAAGACAUAAUGAAAAGCAGUAAUAAGCUUUGUUUUGAAUUCAGCUAAAUGCAUAGCGCUUCUGUGGAAUGUAUUAGGCGAUGAAAUUGCUGUGGUAUCAAAGUUCUUAUAGAGGCUGCAUUUUUACAGGUUGGGCUGUUAAGUGCAGCAGAAAUUGUGGGUUCUUAACAGAAAUAGCAUUUUCAAGUAUUAAAUAUUAAACUGGUUAGCAAUUCUUUUGCUCAGCCAAAUUAAGCUAAGAUCAAGAACUUACAAGUUAAAUGAAAAAACAAUUUGUAGUAUGUGAAUAUAAAAAGUGACUACAACAACAAAAAAUAAAAA